rnacentral:rRNA from 1 species
UAAGACCUCAUGCUUUUGGAGCGGCCGAUGUCUGAUUAGCUAGUUGGUGAGGUAAUGGCUCACCAAGGCGACGAUCAGUAGUUGGUCUGAGAGGACGGCCAGCCACACUGGGACUGAGACACGGCCCAGACUCCUACGGGAGGCAGCAGUGGGGAAUUUUGGACAAUGGGCGCAAGCCUGAUCCAGCAAUGCCGCGUGAGUGAAGAAGGCCUUCGGGUUGUAAAGCUCUUUUAGUCGGGAAGAAAAGGUCGUGACUAAUAAUCAUGAUUCAUGACGGUACUGACAGAAAAAGCACCGGCUAACUACGUGCCAGCAGCCGCGGUAAUACGUAGGGUGCAAGCGUUAAUCGGAAUUACUGGGCGUAAAGGGUGCGCAGGCGGUUUUGUAAGUCAGAUGUGAAAUCCCCGGGCUUAACCUGGGAAUUGCGUUUGAAACUACAAAGCUAGA